AUGCAGCCGAGCGGUAUUUAUUCUUCGGAAUAGAGAGAGCGGCGUACGGGUGCGGAACACGUGUGCAACCUGCCUUUAUCAGGGGGAUAGCCUUUCGAAAGGAAGAUUAAUACCCCAUAAUAUAUUGACUGGCAUCAUUCGAUAUUGAAAACUCCGGUGGAUAGAGAUGGGCACGCGCAAGAUUAGAUAGUUGGUAGGGUAACGGCCUACCAAGUCAAUGAUCUUUAGGGGGCCUGAGAGGGUGAUCCCCCACACUGGUACUGAGACACGGACCAGACUCCUACGGGAGGCAGCAGUGAGGAAUAUUGGACAAUGGGUGAGAGCCUGAUCCAGCCAUCCCGCGUGAAGGACGACGGCCCUAUGGGUUGUAAACUUCUUUUGUAUAGGGAUAAACCUACUCUCGUGAGAGUAGCUGAAGGUACUAUACGAAUAAGCACCCGGCUAACUCCCGUGCCAGCAGCCGCGGUAAUACGGAGGGUGCAAGCGUUAUCCGGAUUUAUUGGGUUUAAAGGGUCCGUAGGCGGAUCUGUAAGUCAGUGGUGAAAUCUCAUAGCUUAACUAUGAAACUGCCAUUGAUACUGCAGGUCUUGAGUAAAGUAGAAGUGGCUGGAAUAAGUAGUGUAGCGGUGAAAUGCAUAGAUAUUACUUUAGAACACCAAUUUGCGAAGGCAGGUCACUAUGUUUUAACUGACGCUGAUGGACGAAAGCGUGGGGAGCGAACAGGAUUAGAUACCCUGGUAGUCCACGCCGUAAACGAUGCUAACUCGUUUUUGGGUUUUCGGAUUCAGAGACUAAGCGAAAGUGAUAAGUUAGCCACCUGGGGAGUACGUUCGCAAGAAUGAAACUCAAAGGAAUUGACGGGGGCCCGCACAAGCGGUGGAUUAUGUGGUUUAAUUCGAUGAUACGCGAGGAACCUUACCAAGGCUUAAAUGGGAAUUGACAGGUUUAGAAAUAGACUUUUCUUCGGACAAUUUUCAAGGUGCUGCAUGGUUGUCGUCAGCUCGUGCCGUGAGGUGUUAGGUUAAGUCCUGCAACGAGCGCAACCCCUGUCACUAGUUGCCAUCAUUCAGUUGGGGACUCUAGUGAGACUGCCUACGCAAGUAGAGAGGAAGGUGGGGAUGACGUCAAAUCAUCACGGCCCUUACGCCUUGGGCCACACACGUAAUACAAUGGCCGGUACAGAGGGCAGCUACCUAGCGAUAGGAUGCGAAUCUCGAAAGCCGGUCUCAGUUCGGAUUGGAGUCUGCAACUCGACUCUAUGAAGCUGGAAUCGCUAGUAAUCGCGCAUCAGC
rnacentral:rRNA from 1 species